rnacentral:rRNA from 1 species
AGGGAAUCUUCCGCAAUGGACGAAAGUCUGACGGAGCAACGCCGCGUGAAGGAUGAAGGUUUUCGGAUUGUAAACUUCUUUAGUCAGGGACGAAAAAAAUGACGGUACCUGAAGAAUAAGCCACGGCUAACUACGUGCCAGCAGCCGCGGUAAUACGUAGGUGGCAAGCGUUGUCCGGAAUUACUGGGUGUAAAGGGCGUGUAGGCGGGAAUGUAAGUCAGAUGUGAAAUCCCAGGGCUUAACCCUGGAGCUGCAUCUGAAACUAUGUUUCUUGAGUGCCGGAGAGGAAAGCGGAAUUCCUAGUGUAGCGGUGAAAUGCGUAGAUAUUAGGAGGAACACCAGUGGCGAAGGCGGCUUUCUGGACGGUAACUGACGCUGAGGCGCGAAAGCGUGGGGAGCAAAC